rnacentral:rRNA from 1 species
AUUGAACGCUGGCGGCAGGCCUAACACAUGCAAGUCGAACGAGUGGCGGACGGGUGAGUACUUUCUGGGAAACUGCCUGAUGGCGGUGGAUAACUACUGGAAACGGUAGCUAAUCCCGCAUACCAUCAGAUGUGCCCAUAUGGGAGUAGCUAGUUGGUGGGGUAACGGCUCACCAAGGCGACGAUCCCUCGCUGGUCUGAGAGGAUGACCAGCCACACUGGAACUGAGACACGGUCCAGACUCCUACGGGAGGCAGCAGUGGGGAAUAUUGCACAAUGGGCGCAAGCCUGAGGCAGCCAGGCCGCGUGUAUGAAGAAGGCCUUCGGGUUGUAAAGUACUUGCAGCGGGGAGGCGUUACACGCAGAAGAAGCACCGGCUAACUCCGUGCCAGCAGCCGCGGUAAUAC